rnacentral:rRNA from 1 species
UACAGAGGGAGCGAGCGUUGUUCGGAAUUACUGGGCGUAAAGGGCGCGUAGGCGGUCCGAUAAGUCCCGUGUGAAAUCCCUCGGCUCAACUGAGGAAUGGCACGGGAAACUGACGGGCUUGAGUUCGGGAGAGGGAAGCGGAAUUCCGGGUGUAGCGGUGAAAUGCGUAGAUAUCCGGAGGAACACCGGUGGCGAAGGCGGCAUCCUGGACCGAACACUGACACUGAGGAGCGAAGGCCAAGGGAGACAAACGGG